CCUACGGGAGGCAGCAGUGAGGAAUAUUGGUCAAUGGACGAGAGUCUGAACCAGCCAAGUAGCGUGAAGGAUGACUGCCCUAUGGGUUGUAAACUUCUUUUAUAUGGGAAUAAAAUGUUCCACGUGUGGGAUUUUGUAUGUACCAUAUGAAUAAGGAUCGGCUAACUCCGUGCCAGCAGCCGCGGUAAUACGGAGGAUCCGAGCGUUAUCCGGGUUUAUUGGGGUUAAAGGGGGCGUAGGUGGAUUGUUAAGUCAGUUGUGAAAGUUUGCGGCUCAACCGUAAAAUUGCAGUUGAAACUGGCAGUCUUGAGUACAGGAGAGGUGGGCGGAAUUCGUAGUGUAGCGGUGAAAUGCUUAGAUAUCACGAAGAACUCCGAUUGCGAAGGCAGUUCACUGGACUGCAACUGACACUGAGGCUCGAAAGUGUGGGUAUCAAACAGGAUUAGAUACCCGGGUAGUC
rnacentral:rRNA from 1 species